AAUGCAUGUGUAUAUGUGAAUCUCAAAUUUUGUAUACAGCCUUAUAAAAUCUUGGAAACUUAGAAAAUUGCAGGUUUAUCUGUCCUUCAGUUAACUUGUAUUUUUCAAAUUUUCCCAAAUAAUUAGGAGAUAUAUAUUUUGCCUUAUGAUACUUUGGUAUUAGAGUAAUGGUCUCAUCAGUUUUCAGUGGUGGUGUUUGCCUCACAAUUGGUCAGUACAAUUUUGCCUCAGUUGUAUUUAGUAAGAAGAAAAAGACUCAAGCUGAAACGAACCCUCUAUUACAUUUUAUUUUGACAUUAUUUUUUAACUACUAUUUUGAACAUCAGACCUUUAGAACACCCCUAAAAUCUUAAACAAAAAAACGUUUAAAUUUCAGUUCCCUUGGAAUAGUGCUAUACUAUUAGUGCUAUACUAAUAGUGCUAUAUGUUGUAAGAGGGCUGUCACAUAAAGUUUGUAUGGGUUGAGCUGUGCAGACAGGCAUCUAGCCAGGGAGAUAACUUCCGGUAGAAAACCAGCCUGCAUUUGCAACAAGUAUGUGCACUGACAAGAAGGGCGCAUUUCCAUAGCAUGCUCACAAAAGGACAUUUAAUGUAGCAAGGCACUUUCACAGUAGGAUUCUUCAAAGAUCCCUCAGCAAAGUAGAUAAGCAGUUCUUGGUUUGAAAGUCAUAUACUGCUGGGCACAGGAGGCAUGGGAUCCUCCCAGCAGCACGGGAAGCUGAGGCAGGAGGAUCGUGAAUUCAAGCCAGCUUCAGCAACUUAGUGAGAUUCUGUCUCAAUAAGUUAAAAAAGGACUGGGGGUGUGGCUCAGUGGUUAAGCACCCCAGGUUCAAUCCCUGGUACAAGAAAGAGAAGGGGGCUGUGUGAGUGUUGGAUGGUGGGGGGGACCCAUGCUUUGCCGAAAAUUUCCAGACAAGUAAGAAUUCCCUGGUAAGCAUAUAAGUAGAAUUCUGCUAUCAAGAGCACUACAGUUGAAAAAUGUUGGGGGGUGUGGGGGAAGACACCUUAAAUAAUGAUCAGCUAAGGAUGACUAGUAUUAGCGUUCAAAGUUAACUCCAUAUUACCUAGAAGUAGAAAUAGCAGUGAAGACAAUGUGGUUUUGUGACUCAAAAAUGAAUGCUAAUUUUCCCAAGAUGAC
rnacentral:lncRNA from 1 species